AACGAACGCUGGCGGCGCGCCUAAUACAUGCAAGUCGAGCGAGAAGACGUAGCAAUACGUUUGUAAAGCGGCGAACGGGUGAGGAAUACAUGGGUAACCUACCCUCGAGUGGGGAAUAACUAGCCGAAGGUUAGCUAAUACCGCGUACGCUCCUUGGACUUCGGUUCAGGGAGGAAAGCGAUACCGUGGGUAUCGCGCUCUUGGAUGGGCUCAUGUCCUAUCAGCUUGNGGUGAGGUAACGGCUCACCAAGGCUUCGACGGGUAGCUGGUCUGAGAGGACGAUCAGCCACACUGGCACUGCGACACGGGCCAGACUCCUACGGGAGGCAGCAGUAAGGAAUAUUGCGCAAUGGGCGAAAGCCUGACGCAGCGAC
rnacentral:rRNA from 1 species